CUUAACGUAAGCGACAAUAUUUCGAAGAACACAAGUUUAAUUUAUUGGUGAAAAGAACACAAGAAAAAAAAGCAGUGUGUGGAGUUCUAGCCUUUUAUUCCCUGUUGGAAAACGAUCACUGCUUAGAAGAGUUCAGUCUCGCAUGCCUGGUAUGAAACAUACAUGUUCAACAAAGCGCCUAGUCCAGAAUUCAUUGUGUAGGACAACUCAGUGGUGGACUCCAACAGGAAUGCUUAUGGAUUAGAAACACAACUUUAUUGCCCACAAGUAAAACUUGCAAAUGACUGAUGAUGAUAGCUAUAAAU